GCAUAAACUCUCAAACUGCAUGAUGUUGCAGAAGUGAGGGGAACCAGGUUUACUAAGGUAACUGCAGUGAUAGAAAUUGAUUAACUUUGGGACCGGAGCGAUAGCACAGCG
rnacentral:snoRNA from 1 species